GGUUAAGCGACUAAGCGUACACGGUGGAUGCCCUGGCAGUCAGAGGCGAUGAAGGACGUGCUAAUCUGCGAAAAGCGUCGGUAAGGUGAUAUGAACCGUUAUAACCGGCGAUGUCCGAAUGGGGAAACCCAGUGUGAUUCGUCACACUAUCGUUAACUGAAUACAUAGGUUAACGAGGCGAACCGGGGGAACUGAAACAUCUAAGUACCCCGAGGAAAAGAAAUCAACCGAGAUUCCCCCAGUAGCG
rnacentral:rRNA from 1 species